CGCAUCUGUGCAUGCAGCAUAUCAAUAAGCGGAGGAAAAGAAACUAACAAGGAUUCCCUCAGUAACGGCGAGUGAAGCGGGAAGAGCUCAAAUUUGAAAUCUUGAAAGGUCACCUUUCACGAAUUGUAGUUUAAAGAAGUGUUUUCUGUUACGAUCGUAAUAUAAGUUCUUUGGAAUAGGACAUCACAGAGGGUGAGGAAUCCCGUCUAUGAUUGCGAUUUGUAGCUUUGUGAUACACUUUCAAAGAGUCGGGUUGUUUGGGAAUGCAGCCCAAAACGGGAGGUAAAUUUCUUCUAAGGCUAAAUAUUGGCGAGAGACCGAUAGCGAACAAGUACCGUGAGGGAAAGAUGAAAAGAACUUUGAAAAGAGAGUUAAAUAGUACGUGAAAUUGUCAAAAGGGAAGCGUUUAACACCAGUGUUGUUUUCUGAAAAUCAACCUCUGUUAGCUUUAUGCAUGUUUGUUUAGACCUAAUCAGCUAUCUUGCAUGUUCUAUUGUUUGCAGUGGUGCACUUUUCAGUUUACAGGUCAACAUCAGUUUUUUUUACCGUAAAAAAGUUAAAGAAAGGUAGCUCAUGGCUCCGGUCGUGAGUGUUAUAGUCUUUUUCCUAUGCGGUAGGAGAGACUGAGGUCUGCAGUGUAGGCUAUUUGGCUAGAUACUCAGGUGCUAUGUGAUACCAUUUCAUAAACAACUUGUUGAUUAUGUUUUGUCUAUUGCAUACUCGCUUGUACUAUCAUACCUACGCUUAGGAUGUUGAAGUCAUCGUAUCGCGC
rnacentral:rRNA from 1 species